UCAAAAAAACCCGACCCGACCCGACCCGAACACGACCCGAACACGAAACAAAUAUAAAACGUGUUUUGUGUUCGGGUCGUGUUCGAGUGACAAACAUGAAACAAGCGGAAUACAUGUUUCGGGUCGGGUUUAGGGUUGAAACAUUGUUCGACCCGAAACACGUUAACACCCUUGUUCCAAUUUCCAAACAAGUCACCAAACACAAACACUAAACACUAAACAGACGUCUUUUCGAGAACCCCUGCCCUUCGGCUUCUUCUCCGACGACUGCGCUUCUCGUGGAUUCCGCUGCCGCCCUCCGAUCGACGCGCCUCCACCUCGCCGUCGCCUUCCCCACCCCUUGUCUCAACGCCGGAACCCUAGCCGCCGCCUAUUCCUAUUGUUUUAGUGGGAAAACGCUGGAGCUGUGUGGCUUUCGGUUUUUCCUCAGAGUCGGGAGAAAAUCUGCCGCGAUUUCUCGCCCGCGCGGCUUGACGAUCCAGGGUCUUUAAAUUCAUGAACCCGAAGAAACAGAGGGUUGGACUCGGAGCUCUUUUCGUUCUUGGAUAUUGCAUGCUUUUGACAUUGGAUUGAAUUGAUCUUGGUCAGAGUUCCUUUACUGAUAUUUUUGCUGCCAUGAAGCUUUGAUGACACCACAUGCACAACCCCUUUUUGGUUCCCCCUCGGGUUGGCUUAGUGUGGAUUAAUCUUGUUAUCUCAUAUCUAGAUGAGCAUUUGCUAGGAAUAGUGUGGUUUUUGAUUUUGUGUGCUUGGUGUGUUUACGCAUCAGCAAUCAACAAGCAUGCCUAAGCUUGUAAGAGAAGUAGAAAUCAGAGAGAAAGAAGCAGAACAACGACUUGAGAUGCAAUCACUGGUGAAGUAAACCGCGACAAUGAUGAAUGAUGAGUAGAGAAUCGAACCUUUCCAUGAAAGGAGAAUUGUUCCAUAUGUAUGUUUCUCAUUUUCUUGUCUGCAACUGCAGGAUAUUUCAACAGAUUGCAAUGGUA